rnacentral:tRNA from 2 species
GGGUCAGUACGCAUAGCUGGCGAUUGCAGCGGUCUGUAAAACCGUGACGUAAGAUACACCGUUGGUUCGAUUCCAACCUGGCCCACCA